UCCUCCGCUUAUUGAUAUGCUUAAGUUCAGCGGGUAUCCCUACCUGAUCCGAGGUCAAGAGCGUUAAAAUAAGGCUUCUUGGAUGCCAACAUACGCUGAUCUGGGGCGCAAAAUGUGCUGCGCUCCGAAACAAGUACGCCGGCUGCCAAUUGUUUUAAGGCGAGUUCACACGCAAACGGCGGAACAAACACCCAACACCAAGCAGAGCUUGAGGGUACAAAUGACGCUCGAACAGGCAUACCUCCCGGAAUACCGAGAGGUGCAAUGUGCGUUCAAAGAUUCGAUGAUUCACUGAAUUCUGCAAUUCACACUACUUAUCGCAUUUCGCUGCGUUCUUCAUCGAUGCCAGAACCAAGAGAUCCGUUGUUGAAAGUUGUAAUUAUUUUGUUUUUAUCAGACGCUGACUGCAACUGCAAAGGGUUUAUGGUUGUCCAACCGGCAGCCGGAGCCACCGAGGAAACUUUGGGUACGUAAAAAAACAUGGGUAAAAGUAGCUAGGCAGAGCCCAGUACUCUCAGUAAUGAUCCUUCCGCAGGUUCACCUACGGA
rnacentral:misc_RNA from 1 species